GAGUUUGAUCCUGGCUCAGGACGAACGCUGGCGGCGUGCCUAAUACAUGCAAGUCGAGCGAGCUUGCCUAUAUGAUUUUAAUGCUUGCACUAUAUGAAACUACAGACGAGCGAGCGGCGGACGGGUGACUAACACGUGGGUAACCUGCCCGAGAGACCGGUAUAACACCUGCAAACGCAUGCUAAUACCGGAUAACAACUCUAGACGCGUGUCUACAGUUUGAAAGAUGGUUCUGCUAUCGCUCUUGGAUGGACCUGCGGUGCAUUAACUAGUUGGUAAAGUAACGGCUUACCUAGGCAAUGAUGCAUACCCGAUUUGACAGACUGAUCGGCCACAUUGGGACUGAGACACGGCCCACAACUCCUACGGGAGGCAGCAGUGGGGGAUAUUGGACGAUGCGGGGAACCCUGAUACAGCUACCCCACUUGAGUGAAUAGUUAUUUCGGUAUGUAAAGCUCUAUCACCAGGGAAGAAACACCUGACAGUACCUGACUAACAACCCCCGGCUAACUACGUGCCCACACCCUCGGUAAUACUUAUGGGGCAAGCGUUAUCCGGAUUUACUGGGUGUAUUGGGAGCGUAGACGGUUACGCCAGUCUGGAAUGAGAGGCGGGGGCCCGACCCCCUGACUGCUUUAGAAACUGUAGAACUGGAGUGCGUGACAGGUAAGUGCAAUUCCUAUUGUAGCAGUGACAUGCGUAAAUGUUACGAUGAACGACAGUGGCUGAAGCG
rnacentral:rRNA from 1 species